UCGGGACGAAGCUUCGGUGACGGUACCGGCAGAAGAAGCACCGGCUAACUACGUGCCAGCAGCCGCGGUAAUACGUAGGGUGCGAGCGUUGUCCGGAAUUAUUGGGCGUAAAGAGCUCGUAGGCGGUUUGUUGCGUCUAUCGUGAAAACCUCAGGCUUAACUUGGGGCUUGCGGUGGAUACGGGCAGACUUGAGUUCGGUAGGGGAGACUGGAAUUCCUGGUGUAGCGGUGAAAUGCGCAGAUAUCAGGAGGAACACCGGUGGCGAAGGCGGGUCUCUGGGCCGAUACUGACGCUGAGGAGCGAAAGCGUGGGGAGCGAACAGGAUUAGAUACCCUGGUAGUCCACGCUGUAAACGUUGGGCGCUAGGUGUGGGGAGCAUUCCACGUUCUCCGUGCCGUAGCUAACGCAUUAAGCGCCCCGCCUGGGGAGUACGGCCGCAGGGCUAAAACUCAAAGGAAUUGACGGGGGCCCGCACAAGCGGUGGAGCAUGUGGUUCAAUUCGACGCAACGCGAAGAACCUUACCUGGGCUAGACAACGGCGGACCGUCCUAGAAAUAGGACUUUCCCUUCGGGGACUGCCGGUUCANGUGCUGCAUGGCUGUCGUCAGCUCGUGCCGUG
rnacentral:rRNA from 1 species